GAUCAUGGCUCAGGAUGAACGCUAGCUACAGGCUUAACACAUGCAAGUCGAGGGGAAACGACAUCGAAAGCUUGCUUUUGAUGGGCGUCGACCGGCGCACGGGUGAGUAACGCGUAUCCAACCUGCCCACCCACUUGGGGAUAACCUUGCGAAAGUAAGACUAAUACCCAAUGACGUCUCUAGAAGACAUCUGAAAGAGAUUAAAGAUUUAUCGGUGAUGGGAUGGGGGAUGCGUCUGAUUAG
rnacentral:rRNA from 1 species